GGAGUUGGGUUGUCAAAUACAUAAUAGGUUGUUCAAAGUUCUUUGAAGACGUUGAGCGAAAGAUCAAGAGAACGCGUGGCAGCUGAAGGAAGUGGCUCGUGAUAUUCCAAAGAGGUGCUCAAGAGCGAGAGCUAUGUUUGCAGACCUGUGGGAAUGAAGGGGGAAUGAAGGGCGAGGCAGCUGAGGAUCUAAGUGGCUGGCUAAUAGUCUAAUAUUUUAAAUAGGUGCUCAAGAGAGAGAUCGUGUGAUCAGGAUCAUCUAAUAUAUAAAGUGGACGCUCGAUCUGAUGCAUGAAGUUUCCCAACUUAGUACAAAUUAAUUGUUUAAAUUAACAUUGGAUCAUUAGCUAUGAGAUGCGAGAAUAUAGGCAGAUGGCAAACAGGAGAAUCGUCAAAUCGCUAGAGGACGACAGUUAGUGACUGUGGCAGCGCGUGUGAGAUAUGCGCCACGCUAGGAAUAUGGAGAUCGGUUGGAUCUGAAGAAUCCAAGGUCGCUGGCCCCAUAAAUGUCGCGUGUGGCGACAACAAGAGUUUUUUUAAUGCUGUGUGGCGCGUGGAUCUCACGCGUGCUUUAAUCAACGCGUGUCUGAAAGAUUGGCGGCUGGGGAAUCUUGUGGUAAAGCACGUGGCGGUCGCUAGGCUCUGGAAAGUAGCAUAUCGGCAUUUCUCCUUACUAUGGAUGAAAAAUUAAAAAAAUUAAAAAAAAAUAGAAAAAGGGGCUACAUAGUUUCAAGACUAGCCAGAUAGGAGGAGGAAGAGAGGAGCCGAAGCUUCACCCCCCUUUAGAGGGAGAAUAUAAUAUUUUUUGGGUGGGUUUUGGCUUGGGAGUGAAACGCUCGAGAGAAAAUGAGAUUGUAAAAAAUAAAAAUAAAAGUCUUUGAUGUAAUUUUGAAUAUUCAGUUACUUCCUUCAUUAAUAUUGUUAGUCCAAUAAGGAUAGUUAUAUCUCUUCCUACUCAACAUGGGACAUGCACGAAGAGAGA